rnacentral:rRNA from 1 species
GUCCCAGCCCUACCCCAGGCGGCGAUGGAGGAGGCAUCCGCGGCGGAGAUCCCCAGGCCGUCCGCCAGCGCGUAGCUCAGGGCAAAGAAGAGGCCGAUGGAAACAUAGUAGGCCGUGCGGCCCUUUUCCGUGCCGAACCGGAAGAUAAAGGGCAGGCAGAACGCGGGAGUCACCAGCGACAGGCAGAGGGUUAGCCCCAGCAGAAACAGCUGAAAGGCGGGAGAAUAGGUGCCUGCCGCCAGGAGUACGGCAGUAAGCCCCAGCAGCACAACGCCGCUGCAGCACAGCCCCACCAGAUAUUUGGCGGAUACCAGCUGGGCGCGGGUGAAGGGCAGCGUCCCGGCGAAGCAGGCCCAUUUUCCCCGCUCGUCAUAGGUUUGCAGAGUCGCGGGAAUCAGACUGCACAGCAUGGCGGGAUAGGUGAUGAAAAACAGGUUGCCUUCCCCUGUCAGAGAAAUGCCAAAAAAUACGGCGCAGAUCAGCAGAUAGCUUUUGCAAUAGGCCCGCGGCGGAUAAAGGUCCUUUUGAAGCAGCGCUUUCCUGUCACUUUGCCUCCUUGCUCAUGAAUACAAACAGCUCUUCCAUGCUGAUGGGGCUUAGGGCCGUUCCCGGCUUUACGGCAUCCCGGCGGACGAUGGCCUCUACGCCGUAGUACCCGGGUUUGAACGUAGUUUGACCGGAGUGGAAACACUCUUUCUAGCAAUAGCAAAUUACGAGGUGCUGCAUGGUUGUCGUCAGCUCGUGCCGUGAGGUGUCGGCUUAAGUGCCAUAACGAGCGCAACCCUUAUCACUAGUUACUAACAGGUGAAGCUGAGGACUCUGGUGAGACUGCCAGCGUAAGCUGUGAGGAAGGUGGGGAUGACGUCAAAUCAGCACGGCCCUUACAUCCGGGGCGACACACGUGUUACAAUGGCAUGGACAAAGGGCAGCUACCUGGCGACAGGAUGCUAAUCUCCAAACCAUGUCUCAGUUCGGAUCGGAGUCUGCAACUCGACUCCGUGAAGCUGGAUUCGCUAGUAAUCGCGCAUCAGCCAUGGCGCGGUGAAUACGUUCCCGGGCCUUGUACACACCGCCCGUCAAGCCAUGGGAGCCGGGGGUACCUGAAGUCCGUAACCGCAAGGAUCGGCCUAGGGUAAAACUGGUGACUGGGGCUAAGUCGUAACAAGGUAGCCGUACCGGAAGGUGCGGCUG